CCUCUUCUGGGGCUCAACACAGAAGUUGUAGCCAUCGCUCUUCAGUACUGCCUGGAUAGUGUUACUAGAGUGAAGUGUGAGGAACUCAUAAAAAAUGCAGCAGCUUAUGGGUGGGUGAAAGCCUGCUGUGGCACCCUCUCACACUCCCUGAAGGGCACCUUUCAUCUGGAGAGUAAAGAGAGUGCCUCCCCCCAGAACCGAGAAAGUGGCCGAGCAGCUUGGAUCUCCUCCAGCAUAUUCAGGCCAAAAAACGGUGCAGUGUCCCAGUGUUCAUUGAGGAAACCAAAUGCGCACACACAGCAGCACCCAGGCGAGCCGCCUCCGAGGCCGGGUCUGCAGGUGCAAGCUCCAAUUAGAGCAGCCGGCUUCCAAUACCUUUUCAUCCGGAACAACGGCCGGGACUCAGCCCCCGCCAGGGACUGAGGAAAACCCCGGAAGGACUGCCGACCAGCCCAGGGAAAACAAAGACCGUCCAAAUAAAAGCAGAUCCUGUGAGUCGAACCUGAAACCCUAGCUUUGUUGUCAAAACCUCUUGUGAGAAUCAGCCACUGCACAAUUUUGUGGAAAAUCAGUCACUGGCGACAAGGAAACAAACUGCUUUCUCAGACCCUCUGCUUCUUCCCUAAGUUAUGGGGGGCGGAGGGGCGUUUUCUUGUACAAACCAGCGAGACGCAGCAUUUCUGCAAUGGCACAGUCUCGUUGGUUGUUUCCUCCACUGCCAACAGUUCCCCCUAAACUGUGUUUUUCAGGGUUACAGAUGCAGGUGGUCUCUCUGUAAACUGGUGCUUCUUUAUCAUUAAUAUCACAUCAAGGCUUAAAAAAAUCACUUGUGGCCUUUAUUUUUAGCAAAGAAUGUGUUUGACGUGCUUGCCAAUGCUCUGUCUUCAGCAGAAAAACACUAUAGACUCAUUUUCUCCCCUCCUCCUACUCCUCUCUCCCCUCAUGUUUCUUUCAUUGACUUCUUAAAGAGAAGGCUAGAAAGGUGGAGAAGCUGAUACAGAGCUUUAAGUUUCCUCUAUAAUCAAGCCAGCUUGCUCCACAGAAGUGCUUCAGGGGAAGACGGAUUUCUCUGCAGACAAGUCACCUCCUGAUGGGCUCUCAGGGCUGCUGGGCCACCACCCCCCUCUGUUAGGAGCUGCUUCCUCCCCUUCCUGACAGUCUUUCUUGUUUUUAAUAUCUAAAUCUCCAAACAAGUGCCAACAAUUAGAAAGGUUAACAAAAGAAUGUUAAAAACCUAUAUUCCCACCACCACUGUCAUACUGUUGUUCUGUUUCCCUCCAGAUCUUGUCAUUGGACAUACUUUUUUGUCUACUCAAUAUGUGUGUGUGUGCACGUGUGUAUAACUCCUGAUUAUUCUUCUGACUUGUCCACUGGGUUUGCAGUCACAAGAUAUGAAUGGCUGGAAAGAUGGAGGACGGGCCUCAUCCCAGCUACUUGUUUUCAAAAAGGCAGAUGGUGCUACUCUUCUCCCUCCUGCUGCAAAGUGCUGGGGAAGGAUCUGAUUGACUUGAUGAAUCUGCCACCCAUUGGACCAAUCCCUGUGACCAGAGAGAAGUGGACUGUGGUCAGCAGAGGCUGGGUCAUGAAAAUAGCAUAUCCUGCCCUGGCUAAACACUAUUUCAGGAAAAGCCACAAACCAGCCCCCUGGGCCCUGUUUACAAAAAUGAACCCAACCUAACUCUGCUGAGCUGGCAAAAGCUGAUAACCUCACUCCAACUUUCCUGGCCGUGGCCCCCAGAACAAGGUCUGUAUUUCUGGGUAUUGCCGUGUAUCUCUCUUAGUUUAUCAUAGCCGGGGGAAGUGGAAAGCACUACCAAAAAAAUGAGGUGCAGAAACCCUGAGAAAAGGAGACGGUAAGAAGAAAAUACAGAAGAAAAGAAAGAGAAAGAGAAUGGGGAGACUAAGAAAAUCGUAGGGUAUGAGGGACCCAAGAGAACAGAGGAAAACCAAGUUUGGAGAGAGGUGGUGUGAAAGUUCCAGGAGUCAAGGGAAGCUGACAUUACUGAGUCCCUACUAUGUGCCAUUGACUUUCACAUCCAUUUUCUUGUUGCAUUUAAUGCCAUCAUCAUGACAUCCUUGUAAGGGAUGUAUGGCCAUCCCACAUUGUAUAGAGAAGGAAACAGAAGAUCAUAGAGUCCAGGGAGCUUGAUGGACUCAUGCAGCUAAGAAGUAAUGAAGUUGGGGCUGAUCCCAGACAUAGCUGACUCCCAAGUUCAUAUUCUUUCUGCCCCACCCUCGUUAUCACCCACAUGCUAUCUAAUCACUACUUGUCUUGGGACAGCCUACCUAGAAGCAGAGCAUGAGACAAGGAUUUCUUGAGGAAGUGUUCUCAGGAGAAGAGGACUGGGGGAAGCAGGAGAGGGCAGGGGAAAAUUCUCAACAAGGAUAUAGCUUCAAUUACUCUAGCUUUAGCCUGAUCAACAGAGAACAUGAAUUGCCCUUCAGAACUCAUCUCGUUUUGAGGCAAGGGAGUCAGAUUUUGGCACCCCUGCCAGUCAGUCACGGUUUGUGGGCCAUCUCUCUUAGCCAGGGUGGAGAAGGAUGUGUGGGGGGUGUAACAUCUCAGGGGAGCGGCUGUUUAGCAGAAGGCGGGUCUCUGGAGAAGGAGGCACAUGAAAGUCAUUAGCAGCCAUGCUCACAGCAGUUAGAGGAUGGAUGUACCAGCCCAGGAAAGGCGAUCUGUGCCAGGCAGCAGCAUCUUCUCUGCACUCUACUACCAGUCUCUUACUGUGCAAGGGAAGGGAGAAGGGGAACCCAGAAGAGAAGGAACAGCUCCGGCAGUGGUCACUGAAGACCCCACUCUGAGUGCCGAUGUCAGUUCCAAAGGCCUGGCCAUGGCAGCAGCCAAUCUGCAGGUAGCAGGCCUCACGCUGGGGCAGUUCCUGUGAUAAUGUGGGCCUAGGUCUGCCCCCAAACCACACUGCUCCCCUCAAUGGCCCACCUGCCUCCCAUCUAAGUCAAUAUUAAAUGGAUUAGAAGAGUCAGACGACCCAGGAUCUUCAACUUCACCACAUUCACAUAUUUAUCACCAACUCUUUCUCCAGUCUCUCUUUUUCACUUUUCCCAGCAGACUUUAUUUCAAAAUUUCAAACAUGUGGUGACUAUGGAAUCUCACUAAGGCAAAGAUUCUCCAGGACUUCAUAAAAAAAAGAAAAAAAACACACCAGUGCCCAGGCUAUCUCUGUCUCCAGGGAGAUUAACCCGGGAUUUUUUUUAAGUUCUUGGGUGAUUCUAUUUGCAGCCAGGAUUGAGAAUCACCAUGCCAGACAUUCCUCAGUCACUUUGGGCCUAUACAUUAGAAUCACCUAGAGCAUUUUAAAAAGUAUCCAUGCUCAGGUCCCAUUUGCCAGAAAUUCUGAUUUGAUUGGUCUUAAGUGGGGGUCUGACAUCAGAGUUUUUUAAAGCUCCCCUGAUGCUUUUAAUGUGCAGCCAAGGUGGAGAAUGCCUGGCUUGGGGAUUUUUAACAUUGUGCCAUGGGGAAGCAUGUCAGGAUAGGAAGAUUCAGAACCGUGCUGGGAUCAAAGUCCUCGUGAGAGGAAAAGAGGCCUCUGUGGACAGUAGCAGCAGAGGUGAAAAAAGAGACUCUCACUAUUAAUUUGACAAUGAACAGCCAGUUUGAUUGCAUUUCCUAUCAUUCGUAAAGUAGAACUAAAUUUUUCAGGUAUCUUUUUGUUUCUUCAGGUCUUCCUUAGCAGAUCUCUCUUGGAGGCCCAUAAGGAGGCUCCUCCCAAAAAUGGUGCGUGGAAAAGGAGAUUAUUCUACCUGAGUUUAAACCCAGAAUUAAUUGACCUAGUCAAGACAGUUCAGGCAUUAUCCCACCCGCUCCUCAUCCUUCACCCCUAUCAGGUGCACAGGCCUCAUGAAGACCAGCCACUGGGUUCUGAAAUUGUUUCCAAGUAGCUGCAUUCCUCAUAUUCAUGAGUCUCUGCCUUCCUUCCCCACCCAUCUCACACACACACACACACACACCCCUCCAUGUUGACCCAAUCCAUAGGACUGCACUUCUAGCCCAGUGGGCUUUCCUGCAAAGUUCUUGCAAUUCCCCUUGUUGACUCCCCUGCUUGCCCAGACUGGCCUCUGCAGCCAGGUGGGCCCUGACCCACCCUGAUAGAUGAUUCUUGUACCCUGUCCUGACUCCUCAUUCCAAGUUCUAAAAACGGGUAAGCCGACUCUUGGUGUUCCUCGUACUCAUGUUCUAUAAAGUCACUGCAAACUUUGAAUUAGUGAAUACUGAACCAUUGCUCCUGGGGGAAAUACAGAGUUCGCUUCCUGCAAGCUUCUGGACACGUUAUGAGCAGCCAAUCAAUAUAAAAUCUUGUUUCAUGUGUGUUUCUGUUUACAGACAUCUUAUUUAAUAUACAUUUUUGAUUCAUUAACAUUGAACUCACAGCCAACAGCACUGAACAUGCCUGGACAAAGUUUCUCUGACACACUUAAGUUGUCUGUAAGGCACAUCACAAUCUUUUGUACUUGGGAACACUAGACAGCACUUCAGCACAAUGCUUCAGGGCCGUUCUAAGCAGUUAAGUCACCCCCCCAAAAAGCACAAAAAUACAAGAAAAAUGUGGCCCUAAAUAGACCAUGAAAAAGACCCUUGUUUACAGUAUGAGAGCUGAAAAAAGAAGGCAGAUGUAUCUGACCGUGUGCACGAAUGAUUGUGAAAGUGCCGUGAGUAUUGAUUUGGGGGUUACAAAUAAAUUUAGCACAACUAUGGAAUCCACAAAAUAAUGAGGAUCAACUGCAUAAGCAUUCGCUUCUGAGUGACAAGUUGUUUUAAUGCCUUGCUAUUACUUUAAGAGCAUCUGUUUCAAGCAAAAGCUC
rnacentral:lncRNA from 1 species